GUCAUUAAUAGAUUUAUUAACGCAAGACAGUUGAGAAUCUCCCUUUUGUGACAAUUAAAAAUUAUUUAGAAGCAUUGUCAACAAUCAGCGUUGCGUGGCAUUAGUCGAAACGUUUGUGAGAUGAUGUGGAAUAGGUUAAUCGUAAGACCUUAGUUUGUAAAAACUUAAAAUUGAUCUAUUAAAUGUUAGUUUCUGAAUUUUCGUAUUUGAUAGUUACGGUAAU
rnacentral:sRNA from 12 species